rnacentral:rRNA from 1 species
CCUACGGGUGGCAGCAGUGAGGAAUAUUGGUCAAUGGCCGUAAGGCUGAACCAGCCAAGUAGCUUGAGGUCCUCCUUCCCUCUUUUUUUUCCCCCUCUUUUCUUCUUUUCUCCCUUUUUCCACGUGUGGAUGUUUGCAGGUACCGCAUGAAUAAGGACCUGCUAAUUCCUUGCCAGCCGCCUCUGUAAUACGGCCGUUCCGGGCGUUAUCCGGAUUUAUUGGGUUUAAAGGGAGCGUAGGCCGGUCUUUAAGCGUGCCGUGAAAUUUUGGGGAUCAACCAUGAGAGUGAGGAGAGAAAGGGAGACCUUGAGUGCGCGGAAGGCAGGCGGAAUUCGUGGGGUAGCGGUGAAAUGCUUAGAUAUAAAGAAGAACCCCGAUUGCGAAGGCAGCCUGCAGCAGCGUUAAUGAAGCUGAAGCUCGAAAGAGAGGGGAGAGAAAAGGAGGAGAGAAAAAGGGAGGC